UACGGAGGGGGCUAGCGUUGUUCGGAAUUACUGGGCGUAAAGCGCACGUGGGCGGCUUUGUAAGUUAGAGGUGAAAGCCCAGGGCUUAACCCUGGAAUUGCCUUUAAGACUGCAUCGCUAGAAUCGUGGAGAGGUAAGUGGAAUUCCGAGUGUAGAGGUGAAAUUCGUAGAUAUUCGGAAGAACACCAGUGGCGAAGGCGACUUACUGGACACGUAUUGACGCUGAGGUGCGAAAGCGUGGGGAGCAAACAGG
rnacentral:rRNA from 1 species